rnacentral:lncRNA from 1 species
GCUGGGCGCGGUGGCUCACGCCUGUAAUCCCAGCACUUUGGGAGGCCAAGGUGGGUGGAUCACCUGAGGUCAGGAGUUCGAAACCAGCGUGGCCAACAUGAUGAAACCCCGUCUCUACUAAAAAUACAAAAAAUUAGCCGGGCGUGAUGGCGCACACCUGUAAUCCCAGCUACUUGGGAGGUUGAGGCAGAAGAAUCACUUGUAUUUUUUAGUAGAGAAGGGGUUUCAGCAUGUUGGCCAGGCUGCUCUUAAACUCCUGACCUCAGGUGAUCCACCUGC